AAUCAACGCUGGCGGCGUGCCUAACACAUGCAAGUCGCACGAGAAAGGGACUUCGGUCCUGAGUACAGUGGCGCACGGGUGAGUAACACGUGAAUAAUCUACCUCCGAGUGGGGAAUAACUGAGAGAAAUCUUAGCUAAUACCGCAUAACACUUACGAGUCAAAGCAGCAAUGCGCUUGGAGAGGAGUUCGCGGCAGAUUAGUUAGUUGGCAGGGUAAUGGCCACCAAGACGAUGAUCUGUAUCCGGCCUGAGAGGGCGCACGGACACACUGGGACUGAAACACGGUCCAGACUCCUACGGGAGGCAGCAGUGGGGAAUUUUGCGCAAUGGGGAAACCCUGACGCAGCAACGCCGCGUGGAGGAUGAAAUCCCUUGGGAUGUAAACUCCUUUCGAUCGGGAAGAUAAUGACGGUACCGAGAGAAGAAGCCCCGGCUAACUUCGUGCCA
rnacentral:rRNA from 1 species